rnacentral:rRNA from 1 species
AGCAGCCGCGGUAAUUCCAGCUCCAAUAGCGUAUAUUAAAGUUGUUGCAGUUAAAAAGCUCGUAGUUGAAUUUCGGGGUUAGUAAGUUGGUUGUGCCACUGGUAUGUACUGGCUUUACUGAUUCCUCCUUCUUGUAGAACCGUAAUGCCAUUAAGUUGGUGUUGCGGGGAAACAGGACUGUUACUUUGAAAAAAUUAGAGUGUUUAAAGCAAGCUAACGCUUGAAUACAUUAGCAUGGAAUAAUGAAAUAGGACGUUCGAUCCUAUUUUGUUGGUUUCUAGGAUUGACGUAAUGAUUAAUAGGGAUAGUUGGGGGCAUUAGUAUUCAAUUGUCAGAGGUGAAAUUCUUGGAUUUAUUGAAGACUAACUACUGCGAAAGCAUUUUGCCAAGGAUGCUUUCAUUAAUCAAGAACGAAAGUUAGGGGAUCGAAGACGAUCAGAUACCGUCGUAGUCUUAACCAUAAACUAUGCCGACUAGGGAUCGGAUGAUGUUAAUUUUAUAAUGACUCAUUCGGCGCCUU